rnacentral:lncRNA from 1 species
CCCCGCCCGGACUCCUACGGGAGCCGGGCUCCGCUGACAACAGCAACUGCCGAUAGGCCUUGUCCAGACCCCUACGGGACCCGGACUUUGCCUACGACUUUGAUUGCAGGAAGACUUCACCCUGACCCCUACGAGAGCCAGGCUACUCCAACUUCAGGAGGGCUUCUCCGUUCGGACUCCCAAGGGAGCCGAACUUAGCUCCGACUUCAGCAGAGAAAAAACCCAAGCAAAAAAGGAAAGCAAAUAGUGCCCGAAGGCAACAGAAGCUUGAACCCCCAAAUUCAAGCCCUAGGAGGGACUUUGGGCCUGAAGGGCCCCAAGCGAACCUGCAACCGUCGACGGAAUGACAAUCGGGUAUCUUCGAAUGGCGUAAGAGCCGAAAAGUAGCUCGGCAAAUGACAACCCCACA